UGAAAAGCUCCCUGAGAUUCAGAAAUCCCCCUCUCUGACCUAAUCAAGUCUCUGCAUUUGUAUUUAUGUGCUCAAAAAUAAUCUAACAGAUUCUGAUUGGUUUGGACGGUGUUGCUUAGAGACCAUACAAAAGUCAGUGUGCUGCCCCUAGAGACUUCUCAGGUAUGGUUGCUGUGUCACAUGUGUGUUGGUAGGUGGCAAAGAGGAGAGGGGCUAUGCCUAUGAUCAGUGUUCUGAUCUGUAACAUCUGACUGAACAGUAGCCUAACAAUCUUUGAAAAACAAAAUGGACCUGAGACAAUUACCACUGCAGCUUCUGGUGGCUCAGACUGGGAGCUAGUCAGUCAGGUGGGAGUGAGUCUUAGGCAAAUGACCAUUUAUUUCAUGGGGCUCCUCUGGUGGGUCAGGCAAAGAAUGAGUGUGGGAUAACCACCAGACGAGGACUUUGGGGUUUGGACAAUGAGCUAGGCUGAAAGUACAACCAAUCCACCAUGAAGGCACUGGAGGUGCAGACCAUGACCAAGAUGACCUCUGCCUAGUCCCAUACUGCUUGUGUUGGUCACAGAACUCCUGAAGCAACACCAGACACUCAGAGACCCUGGGUGCUACUUAAGGGGUAAGUAGUAGGUAGAGAAAUGGAAGAGAAACAGAAAAAGAAAAA
rnacentral:lncRNA from 1 species